AUUGAACGCUGGCGGCAGGCCUAACACAUGCAAGUCGAACGAGUGGCGGACGGGUGAGUAAUGUAUGGGAAACUGCCCGAUGGAGGGGGAUAACUACUGGAAACGGUAGCUAAUACCGCAUACCAUCGGAUGUGCCCAGAUGGGAUUAGCUAGUAGGUGGGGUAACGGCUCACCUAGGCGACGAUCCCUAGCUGGUCUGAGAGGAUGACCGCCCCCACUGGAGCUUGUGCACGGACCCGACUCCUACGGGAGGCCGCCGUGGGGGAUUUUGCACAAUGGGCGCAAGCCUGAUGCGACCAUGCCGGUGUGAUGAAAGAGGCCUUCGGGUUGUAAAGUACUUUCAGCGGGGAGGCGUUACCCGCAGAAGAAGCACCGGCUAACUCCGUGCCAGCAGCCGCGGUAAUUC
rnacentral:rRNA from 1 species